GUGGGCUACGGCGACAUGGUUCCCAAGACUUACGUGGGCAUGUUCGUCGGCGCCCUCUGCGCCCUGGCCGGCGUGCUAUGCAUAGCCUUGCCGGUGCCGGUCAUUGUGUCCAAC
rfam:Biomphalaria glabrata isolate BB02 unplaced genomic scaffold LGTN_random_Scaffold412, whole genome shotgun sequence.